rnacentral:rRNA from 1 species
GGUCGAAACGAGAAAGAGGUUGCUUGCAACCUUGAGUAGAGUGGCGCACGCCCUUAAAAACACGUAGAUAAUCUACCUUCAAGCCUGGAAUAACCCUUCGAAAGGGUAGCUAAUACCGGAUAAAGUUGAUCAACAUAAGUUGGUUCAUGAAAGAUUGCCUCUUCUUGAAAGCNAUUGUUUGGAGAUGAGUCUGCGGACCAUUAGUUUGUUGGUGGGGUAAAGGCCUACCAAGACUGCGAUGGUUAGCUGGUCUGAGAGGAUGAUCAGCCACACUGGAACUGACACACGGUCCAGACUCCUACGGGAGGCAGCAGUGAGGAAUUUUGCGCAAUGGGGGAAACCCUGACGCAGCAACGCCGCGUGAGUGAAGAAGGCCCUUGGGUCGUAAAGCUCUGUCGACAGGGAAGAAAUUAACAUCAUCCAAUAGGUGUUGUUAUUGACGGUACCUGUAGAGGAAGCACCGGCUAACUCCGUGCCAGCAGCCGCGGUAACACGGGGGGUGCAAGCGUUAUUCGGAAUUAUUGGGCGUAAAGGGCGCGUAGGCGGUCUUGUCGGUCAGAUGUGAAAGCCCGGGGCUCAACCCUGGAAGUGCAUUUGAAACAGCAAGACUUGAAUACUGGAGAGGAGAGAGGAAUUCCUGGUGUAGAGGUGAAAUUCGUAGAUAUCAGGAGGAACACCGAUGGCGAAGGCAUCUCUCUGGACAGAUAUUGACGCUGAGGCGCGAAGGCGUGGGUAGCGAACAGGAUUAGAUACCCUGGUAGUCCACGCAGUAAACGUUGUUCACUCGGCGUGGCGGAAUCUUAAAAUCUGCUGUGCCUUAAGCUAACGCAUUAAGUGAAACCGCCUGGGGAAUACGGGUCGCAAGACUAAAACUUCAAAGGGAAUUGACGGGGGGCCCCGCACAAGCGGG